ACAACCUCCGCAGGCUGGCUGGGCCCCAGGUGUCUCUAGGCCAGUACCUCUUUGAGCGGCUCACUCUCAAACAUGACUAGGAGGCCUCUCUUUCU
rnacentral:pre_miRNA from 1 species